rnacentral:tRNA from 1 species
GUUUAGAUAGCUUAAAGUUAAAGUUUAACACUGAAGAUGUUAUGAUGAUAUUUUGAUAUCUUUAAAUA